rnacentral:rRNA from 1 species
AAGAUGGCGACCGGCGCACGGGUGAGUAACACGUAUCCAACCUGCCGAUAACUCUGGAAUAGCCUUUCGAAAGAAAGAUUAAUACCGGAUGGCAUACGAAUAUCGCAUGGUAUUUUUAUUAAAGAAUUUCGGUUAUCGAUGGGGAUGCGUUCCAUUAGUUUGUUGGCGGGGUAACGGCCCACCAAGACAACGAUGGAUAGGGGUUCUGAGAGGAAGGUCCCCCACAUUGGAACUGAGACACGGUCCAA